CCGCUGGCAGCGCAUCUCGCAGGGCCAGAAGGACCACUAUAAGAAGCUGGCGGAGGAGCAGCAGAAGCAGUACAAGGUGCACCUCGACAUCUGGCUCAAGAGCCUCUCGCCCCAGGAGCGGGCUGCCUACAAGGAACACACCUCCAACAAACGCAAGAGCAUAGGGAAGAUCCG